rnacentral:lncRNA from 1 species
UGAAAAUUGGGUACCCAACACCGAAACACAACGAAUUGCACUAAAACUUGAUUGUCGAAUCAGAGAGGAAAAAAGAAAGCAAAAAUUGGCAUUACACCCAAAAAGAGGAAGAAGACAGAAUGUUAAACAAUAAAGUCUUUUGGGGAAAAAAUAAAAUAAAAGAAACUCCUCACUAAAUCUUAACUUCCCACUAACAAAUCAACCUCAAGUACCUCAGAAUUCCAACUCCACCUAAACUCUAUCACAAAACCGAG